UACGUAGGGUGCGAGCGUUAAUCGGAAUUACUGGGCGUAAAGCGUGCGCAGGCGGUUUUCCAAGACAGAUGUGAAAUCCCCGGGCUCAACCUGGGAAUGGCAUUUGUGACUGGAAGGCUAGAGUGUGUCAGAGGGGGGGUAGAAUUCCACGUGUAGCAGUGAAAUGCGUAGAGAUGUGGAGGAAUACCGAUGGCGAAGGCAGCCCCCCUGGGAUAACACUGACGCUCAUGCACGAAAGCGUGGGGAGCAAAAGGG
rnacentral:rRNA from 1 species